rnacentral:rRNA from 1 species
AUACGUAGGGGGCGAGCGUUGUCCGGAAUGAUUGGGCGUAAAGGGCGCGUAGGCGGCGCGGUAAGUCUGGAGUGAAAGUCCUGCUUUCAAGGUGGGAAUUGCUUUGGCUACUGCCGCGCUUGAGUGCAGGAGAGGUUAUCGGAAUUCCCGGUGUAGCGGUGAAAUGCGUAGAGAUCGGGAGGAACACCAGUGGCGAAGGCGGGUAACUGGACUGCAACUGACGCUGAGGCGCGAAAGUGUGGGGAGCAAACAGGAUUAGAUACCCUGGUAGUCCACACUGUAAACGAUGAAUGCUAGGUGUAAGAGGUAUCGACCCCUUUUGUGCCGGAGUCAACACAAUAAGCAUUCCGCCUGGGGAGUACGGCCGCAAGGUUGAAACUCAAAUGAAUUGGCGGGG